GCGCCUAACACAUGCAAGUCGAACGGUUAAAGCACCUUUUAGGUGUGUAUAAAGUGGCGAACGGCUGAGUAACACGUGGGCAACCUGCCCUCCUCUUGGGGAUAGCCUCGGGAAACCGAGGAUAAUACCCGAUACUUCAAUGUGGCCGCAUGACGACAUUGAGAAAGCUUUUGCGGAGAAGGAUGGGCCCGCGGCCUGUUAGCUUGUUGGUGGGGUAGAGGCCUACCAAGGCAAUGAUGGGUAGCUGGGUUGAGAGACCGACCAGCCAGAUUGGGACUGAGACACGGCCCAGACUCCUACGGGAGGCAGCAGUGGGGAAUCUUGCACAAUGGGCGAAAGCCUGAUGCAGCGACGCCGCGUGCGGGACGAAGGCCUUCGGGUUGUAAACCGCUUUCAGCAGGGACGAGGCGAAAGUGACGGUACCUGCAGAAGAAGCCCCGGCUAACCACGUGCCAGCAGCCGCGGUAAUACGUAGGGGGCAAGCGUUAUCCGGAUUCAUUGGGCGUAAAGCGCUCGUAGGCGGUCUGUUAGGUCGGGAGUUAAAUCCGGAGGCUCAACCUCCGCCCGCUCCCGAUACCGGCAGACUUGAGUUUGGUAGGGGAAGGUGGAAUUCCUAGUGUAGCGGUGGAAUGCGCAGAUAUUAGGAAGAACACCAGUGGCGAAGGCGGCCUUCUGGGCCAUAACUGACGCUGAGGAGCGAAAGCUAGGGGAGCAAACAGGAUUAG
rnacentral:rRNA from 1 species